rnacentral:misc_RNA from 1 species
GAUGAAGAACGUAGCGAAAUGCGAUAAGUAAUGUGAAUUGCAGAAUUCAGUGAAUCAUCAAAUCUUUGAACGCACAUUGCGCUUCCUGGUAUUCCGGGGAGCAUGCCGUUUCAGAAUCAUGAAAAUCUCACAAACCUGGUGUUUUUCGACAUUGGGUUGGUGGAUUUGGAUGUUUUGCCGUUAUUGCAAACAUCUUUAUUUGAUUGUGUGUGCACCGAUUGCUCAGUCAGUUGGUAUCCAAAGUGCAACAGAUUUUUCUAUUUCACUGGGGAUGUCCGGUUGAUUGGCUUGGAGCGUGCUCUCAAGCUUUAUACGGUGGCUGCAACGUUAGGGGCAGUCAUUGAUAACUUGGUCUGAAAUCGGGCAAGAAAACCCGCUGAACUUAAGCAUAUCAAUAAGCGGAGGA